rnacentral:rRNA from 1 species
UGAAAUGCGUAGAGAUUAGGAAGAACACCAGUGGCGAAGGCGACUUUCUGGACUGUAACUGACGCUGAGGCACGAAAGCGUGGGUAGCAAACAGGAUUAGAUACCCUGGUAGUCCACGCCGUAAACGAUGAGUACUAGGUGUAGGGGGUAUCGACCCCUCCUGUGCCGCAGUAAACACAAUAAGUACUCCGCCUGGGAAGUACGAUCGCAAGAUUAAAACUCAAAGGAAUUGACGGGGACCCGCACAAGCAGCGGAGCAUGUGGUUUAAUUCGAAGCAACGCGAAGAACCUUACCUGGACUUGACAUCCCCUGAAUAACUUGUAAUGGAGGAAGCCCUUUGGGGCAGGGAGACAGGUGGUGCAUGGUUGUCGUCAGCUCGUGUCGUGAGAUGUUAGGUUAAGUCCUGCAACGAGCGCAACCCCUGUUGUUAGUUGCCAUCACAGAAAGGUGGGCACUCUAACAAGACUGCCGCGGUUAACGUGGAGGAAGGUGGGGAUGACGUCAAAUCAUCAUGCCCCUGAUGUCCAGGGCGACACACGUGCUACAAUGGGCAGAACAGAGAGAAGCAAUACCGCGAGGAGGAGCAAAUCUCAAAAACUGCUCCCAGUUCGGAUUGCAGGCUGAAACCCGCCUGCAUGAAGUUGGAGUUGCUAGUAAUCGCGAAUCAGCAUGUCGCGGUGAAUACGUUCCCGGGUCUUGUACACACCGCCCGUCACACCAUGAGAGCUGGCAACACCCGAAGUCCGUAGUCUAACUUAGGAGGACGCGGCCGAAGGUGGGGUUAGUAAUUGGGGUGAAGUCGUAACAAGGUAGCCGUAGGAGAACCUGCGGCUG